ACUAACAAGGAUUCCCCUAGUAACUGCGAGUGAAGCGGGAAGAGCUCAAAUUUGUAAUCUGCCAUUUGGCCGAGUUGUAAUCUGGAGAAGCGUUAUCAGGCGCCGACCGCAUUAAAGUCUCUUGGAACAGGGCGUCACAGAGGGUGAGAAUCCCGUGAGUAAUGCGGCUGCGGCGUUGUAGAGGCGCUCUCGAUGAGUCGAGUUGUUUGGGAAUGCAGCUCAAAUGGGUGGUAAACUCCAUCUAAAGCUAAAUAUUGGCGAGAGACCGAUAGCGAACAAGUACCGUGAGGGAAAGAUGAAAAGGACUUUGGAAAGAGAGUUAAAGAGUACGUGAAAUUGCUGAAAGGGAAGCGCUUGAAGUGAGUCGCGCGGGCAGGAUUCAGCUUUGCGUAUUUCCUGCCUGUGGGCCAGCAUCGACGCUGGGCGGCGGACAAGGGCGGUGGGAAUGUGGCACCUUCGGGUGUGUUAUAGCCUGCGUCGUACACGCUGCCUUACGUCGAGGACUGCUUAUAGGAUGCUGGCGUAAUGGCUUUAAGCGACC
rnacentral:rRNA from 1 species